AUGUCAACUAAAUCACGUUCAGCCUCUUGUUUCAAAGAGCUUCCCCCCAAGGAGUCGUUAAGCAUGAAGAACGUGGCCCGGCAUGCAUGCACGUGGGAAGACCUCAGAUGUGUCAUUGUCGUCAUCCUUCUCGUCCCCUCACCGAUGAGGACACAGGCUCAGAGGCAUGAAGAGACUCAUCCAGGGCCACGCAGUUUGGAGGUGACAGAGCCGGGCCUGGAGCACCUGCAUGCUCCCUCUCAGGUCCGCACUCGGUUCCCCUGGAGGCUCUGUGUCGUCAGGAGAAGGGGCCGAGGGGCUGGGGAGGCGGAAAUGAUGCAAGGAUGAGAGGUUGGAGGGACGCGGUCGCCGCAUCUCUGCAUCUCAGUUCUAUGGCUGGGACUCCCGGCCUCCUUUUGCUCUCUGCUGGCUUCAUCCUUGGGCUUUCUGUUCCAGUGGUACCGCUCUGACUCCUGCUCCUGCUCCUGCGGGAGCUCCAGACACCUCCCGGCUGCCCUGCGAGGGCUGCCACCCCAUUCUGCAGGAGAGGAAACUGAGGCUCCGGGGAGGUCACCUAGCCCGUCG
rnacentral:lncRNA from 1 species